AUUUUAAGAAUGCAGUGCUAACUGGAAGAAAUUGAAAGUAGGAAUAGUAUUAUUUAUAAUAUUUUGUAUUGUUUUUGAUAAGCAUGUAUAUUUUUUUCAAAAAAAACCAUCUAGCCCUGAUAAGAUAUAGCACCUUUUGAUAUCCUAUGCCUAACCAUGUUUCAGUGAAAUACAUUUCAGAAUGUUUUUUAAGACAUUUUUUUAACUGAUGUUACUGAUUUGGAAAUUAAGUUGUGCUCUUGUCCCCAAAGCUUUUUAAUGUUUAGUAUGGUGAUGAAGUACAUUUUUUAUUAUAUAUGAGGAAUCCUUGGAGUAUUGUUAUCUUUGUCCUAAAGCAUCAUUACCCUUUGAAGUAAUGUUUCAAAGAUGAAAGGAUUUUUAUUCAACUGGGUUGGGGGAAUUUUAUGCUAUUGUAAAGUUUGUUAACUCUUUAAACCACAUAGGCAAUUAUUAGAAACCUGAAAGGAGUAAUUUUACAAAUAACGUAGUGCCCUGAAACAGUGCAUUUACCUCCAUACUGGGGACUAUUUUCCUGCUGUAGUUCAUGUUUCAGGCAAAGUUACCUAGGUCAGGGAAAAUUUUCUUUAUUAUUGUAGGAGAAAAGAAGGUUUGUGUUCAUCAGAAAGUGAACCCAUAAAAGGGCUGCAACAGAUCCAGCUGUAGCUGAGGUAGGAGAAGCUAUUAGAUGACUUUAAAGAAAUCUGUAGGCAAGGAGAUAGACAUCUUUACCCUUGGUACAUGUAUGACUGCACAUAUAAUGUGACACUACAUCAUGUACAACCAGAGAAAUGAAAAGUUGUGCUGAAAUUAUGUACAAUGAAUCAAAAUUCAUUCUGCUGUCAUAUAGCUAUCUGAAAAAAGAAUGAAAUGUGUAGCUGCAUAUUUAAGGGGAACACCCAAGCCUGAUCCAUUCUCCUUUGAGGGCUGGAGAGCCAUCUUCUAGUGAUAGCGUAGACAGAUAUACACAAAUUUUUCUGCUCCAAGUUCUUCUGCCAAUGGUUGACUUUGAAAUGUAGCUUGUGGCAGCAAUUUUAGAGCUGGCUUUCUCUCCCUCCACUCUGUUGACAAAAAUGAGUUGGAAGACUGG
rnacentral:lncRNA from 1 species